rnacentral:rRNA from 1 species
UACAGAGGGUGCAAGCGUUAAUCGGAAUUACUGGGCGUAAAGCGUGCGCAGACGGUUGCGUAAGUCAGAUGUGAAAGCCCCGGGCUCAACCUGGGAAUUGCAUUUGAGACUGCGUAGCUAGGGUGCGGAAGAGGGAAGCGGAAUUUCCGGUGUACGCGGUGAAAUGCGUAGAUAUCGGAAGGAACACCAGUGGCGAAAGCGGCUCCUGGUCCAGCACCGACGUCAGGCACGAAAGCGUGGGGAGCAAACAGG